UAAACAAUUAAAUAGCCUGACUUUUUAAUGUUUUAUAAAAUGGAAAUAUAGUGUUUUGGAACCAAACACUUCAAGUGAUUAUUUCAGAAAGCUGUGAGUGAUAGGUUAAUGUAGUAUAACUUUUUUUUUUUUUUUUUUCAUUUUAAGAAAAAGUUGAAUAUUGGGGAGGACCAUGGGCCUUUCCAUAAACAUCAUGGAUUGAAGAACAAUUUAAAUAUAACCAUAAACACAAACAAACGUGAUUUAUAAAACCAAUAUUUGGAAUAUUAGGCAUUUAAAUUCAGCAAAACAGUAGCAUCCACGAGUAUCACAACCAGUUUGUCACGGCCAAGAUAGCACCCAAAUAGUUCUGAUAUGACUGUCAAGACUGAAUGGUGGAGGGUAGGAAGUAAGAUAAUGAAUUUAAAUGGGCCAAUCUACUGCCCCCGCUGCAUGGGAUGAGGGCCGACGCUUCCCACGGGGAGAGGAACUCAGGUCAGGUAUGUUAUUCUCUAUCUCAGGUUGCAUGCAACAGAUUUGAUCCCUUAAGUUUCACAUGGAAAGUCUUUAUGAGAAUUUCAGAAUAUUCCAGCUGCCUUUAUUAAUUCUAUGUUUUCAACUGUGUUUUAACUGUUGAUGGGUUCGUUUGCCAUAUAACAUGUUUGUCUUGUUUAUGAAAUAUGU